CUCCAACUGCCGAGAGCAAAAGCCAGCAGCUGCAUUCCGUCACCUUUUCCCCAGCCCAAUUAUCGCAGUAUUUCUGCUCCUCCGGGAGAAACCCUCAGAUAAGAGAGUAGCCAGCCUCACCCGUCCCGGGACAAUUUAUUUUAUCUCUCUUAAGUGUACUGUCUCUUAGCAGUAAAAUGGGAGAAAAUUUCCCAAGACAAAGAAAGCAAAAGGAAAAACCCUGACCUCCAACAAAUGAUACUAUGGUAUCCACAUCAGGGAUUUAAGGCCUUAUGCUUGCAGUGACAUUAUUGAACUGCUGCAGUUUUUCUCUCUGUACCAAGGAGUAUGCUAUAGACCUCUGCUGAGGUGAAUCCAGAGCUACCACAGGAAAUCCGAUAAAGAAUCAGAGACUUCGUUCCCUGGAGCUUACCUGUGGCAUUUUGGGAGUCAGAGAAGGAUGCCAUCAAUGUGAGAACUACAAGAAGCUUUUAAGAGCACCUCUAUGUCUGAAGAACCCUGUCAAAUUUUGUCCAUGUGCCCUAUUUCAAAACAGAAGAUUGUAGUAGAAAUAAAGUAU